GUGAAGUCAAGUUUGCUCGCUACUCGUGCUGCCCGUGCGAACCAUACCAGCUUCCAUCCUGAGGCCGCGCGCACGCAUUUGCAGGCGCCCAGUCACAUGCCAUCCUAACGGCUAACGCUCCUCCACAAAAGAAUCACAUACACAUGGUGCCUCCGAGACAUCACAAACACGCACGCACGCCACCGGACAAUCGACACACGACUUGGUGGACAGGCUGGGUCCAAUGCACACUCUGGGAGCCUGAGCCCCUCCCAAAACAGUCCAAACAACGCUGCUGUCGCAGCACCGCACGAUAAGGCCACGUCGCUUAACAAACAACACAUUCCCUCCACCGUGC
rnacentral:lncRNA from 1 species